GGAUCAAAUUGUUGGUCGUGCCUCGGUACGUACUGGUAUUGUUGGUUUCUCCCUUCUGAAGAACCAUGAUGUCAUUUAUUUGUGUUGUGGGGAAUCAGGACUGUUACUUUGAAAAAAUUAGAGUGUUUAAAGCAGGCAUUAGCUUGAAUACAUUAGCAUGGAAUAAUGAAAUAGGACGUUUGAUCCUAUUUUGUUGGUUUCUAGGAUUGACGUA
rnacentral:rRNA from 1 species